rnacentral:rRNA from 1 species
UACGAAGGGGGCUAGCGUUGCUCGGAAUCAUUGGGCGUAAAGCGCGUGUAGGCGGCUUCGUAAGUCCGUUGUGAAAGUCCAGGGCUCAACCCUGGAAUGCCGAUGGAUACUGCGGAGCUAGAGUCCGGAAGAGGCGAGUGGAAUUCCUGGUGUAGCGGUGAAAUGCGCAGAUAUCAGGAGGAACACCAAUGGCGAAGGCAGCUCGCUGGGACGGUACUGACGCUGAGACGCGAAAGCGUGGGGAGCAAACAGG